rnacentral:lncRNA from 1 species
AAUCAGACCUUAUUUGCCACAGCAGAACUCACACUGGAGAGAAGCCCUACAAAUGUAAAGAAUGUGGCAAAGCUUUCAGUCAAAAAUCACACCUUAUUUGCCACAGUAGAACUCACACUGGAGAGAAACCUUACAAAUGUAAAGAAUGUGACAAAGCUUUCAGUCGAAAAUCAAACCUUAUUCGCCACAGAAGAAUUCACACUGGAGAGAAGCCGUACCAAUGCAAAGAAUGUGGCAAAGCUUUCAGUCAAAAAUCAAAUCUUAUUUGCCACAGAAGAACUCACACUGGAGAGAAGCCCUACAAAUGUAAAGAAUGUGGCAAAGCUUUCAGUCACAAAAUAGACCUUAUUCACCACAGCAGAACUCACACUGGAGAGAAGCCCUACAAAUGUAAAGAAUGUGGCAAAGCUUUUAGUCGAAAAUCAUACCUUAUUUGCCACAGUAGAACUCACACUGGAGAGAAACCCUACAAAUGUAAAGAAUGUGGCAAAGCUUUCAGUCGAAAAUCAAACCUUAUUCACCACAGGAGAAUUCACACUGGAGAGAAGCCGUACCAAUGCAAAGAAUGUGGCAAAGCUUUCAGUCAAAAAUCACACCUUAUUUGCCACAGAGAAUUCACACUCAAAAGAAGCCCUACAAAUGUAAGGAAUGUGGCAAAGCUUUUAGAAUAAAACAGGCAUUAUUCACCAUAGAAGAACUCACUCUGGAGAAAUAGUCCUAAAAAUGUGAAUAAAGUGGCAAAACUUUUAAUAAAAAAUAAAACUUUAUUCACCACAGCAGAAGACACAAUGGUGAAUAUGAAAUGUAAAUAAAGUGAUAAUACUUUUAAAGAAAAACUAAACCUCAUUAACAACAGAAUUUAUAAAGGAAAGAACCCCUAUGAAUGAAAACAAUGUAUC